AGAUAACUACUGUCCCAGGGGACAUCUGACUUCAACCUCAGGAGAAGCCCUGAGCCAGACUGACCAGCUGAGCUACUCCUGAAUUCCUGGCUUGUAAAGGCUGUGGAGAGAUAAUAAAUGACUAUUGAUGUUUGAGGUCACUAUGUUUUGGGAUGAUUUGUCAUGCAGCAUUAGGUAAACUGAACAGAUACCAUUGUUGAUGUGUCGGAAAGGAAAAUUUCUUUGCUUGCUUUUUUUUCUUAGCUGCCGACUGUGUUCAGAGAUCUUUUUACUUUUUAAAGUAGUGCUGCUAGGAAGCUGGGUUAGCAGCAGAGAGGCACCUAUGCCAGGUGAUAUCGGGGUGCUUAGUUUUUACUUUGGGGGUGUGAUUGGGGGCAGAUGUGGCAGUCCAUUAUACACAAGUGGGGGACUUGGGUAUGCUUAACUCUAGGACUAUAACUUUUCUGUGUCGGGCUGGUGUCAGGUGUGUAAUUUUGGGCUGCGUAGGCCUGUUGGUCUGGGAGCAGCUUUCAGUAGUGAGGAGGAGGAGGAGAGGACUGUAUAGAAGCAGGCACUUGGGAGACAGGGCGAAGAUGAACUGGGUUUCUUUCUUUUUUUUUUAAUUUUUAUUUUUUGUCUUUUUGCCUUUUGAGAGCCGCUCCUGCGGCAUAUGGAGGUUCCCAGGCUAGGGGUCUAAGGAGCUGUAGCCAGAGCCACAGCAACGCGGGGACUGAGCCGCGUCUGCAACCUACACCACAGCUCACGGCAACGCCAGAUCCUUAACCCAGUGAGCAAGGCCAGGGAUUGAGCCCACAACCUCAUGGUCCCUAGUCGGAUUCAUUAACCACUGAGCCAUGAUGGGAACUCCAAACUGGGUUUAUUUCUCAUGGUUAUUUUUCUUCUAGGAAGUGGUUCUAUCUUUAGGGUAUUUCCAUAAAACCAAUAGAUACCACACACUUUUACCCUCCUCCUCCUCCUCCUCUCCUCUUUCCCAUUCUCCCUUAAAGUAGUGGUCUGCUUUGGGGGAGGAUUGGAAUCAGGCCUGCUGAGGCUUGGGAAGACAGGAGCUGGAUGAGGAGAGUGUCCUGGGGAAGGAACUUUGCAAGAAAGGGAAGUCGGCUCCGGAGCUGCCGAGCCACACGUUCUCAGCCUCUUGCUCCUACCCAUGCUCUAGAGGCUUCUUCUCCACCUCUCAAACUACUGGAGAUUCUAGUGGGUGUGCCUGGGUAGCAGGUGGGAGUUUAAAACGUCUCUCAGAUUGAGAAUGAGGGAUCCACAUCCCAGAUGCCACAUUAUUUCCCUUCCUCAUGAUCUCAUUCAUUGAGUAAAGCCCUAGUAGGACCUGAACCUAAAAGCCAGCACGUCCCUGUUGCAUAGGAUUCAUCCUUUUUUUUAAUUUUUUUUUAUUUUUUGUCUUUUGUCUUUUUAGGGCCGCACCUGUGACAUAUGGAGGUUGCAGAUGCUGCCCGGAUCCCGCGUUGCUGUGGCCCUGGCGUAGGCCCGUGGCUACAGCUCCGAUUCGACCCCUAGCCUGAGAACCUCCGUAUGCCGCAGGAGUGGCCCAGGAAAUGGCAAAAAGACAAAAAAAAAAAAAAAAAAAAAAAAAGUUUUAGAGCCUGAAAAUUUGAGGCAUGCAAUUCCUUUCUUGCUUUAGGAGUUGUUUCCUGACAUGGAAGUCGGUUUUUAUCUGGUUUGGAGAAUCGUGGCUCUUUUGUCCUCGCCAGCAGGAGUUCAUGUUGCUCAUUUUUUGUGUGGAUGUGCAUCGAAUGAUGGUGGCUGUGACCCUGAAGCCCAGGGAGCAGCCUGAAAGCUUUGGUGAGAAUUUUAAUUGUGCAGCUUUAUCCUGGGGGCAAGUUCUCUCACCACCUCAGUGUUCAGAAAAGUCCAAAGCAAAUGUAAGUGAGGAAAAUGAGGUACAGGCCACAGCGCACAGGGAGGAGGAAGUCACCUCAGCUGUCCAAAUGGCCAGGGAGGGGCUGCCUGGGAGCACUCAUCCUGGCUGCCGCCUCCCUCCCUCCCUUCCUGAGGCCCCCUGUGGCUGUCAGAUCCGAGGCCUAGUCUCUCUCUCCUUGCUCUGCAGCAGCCUGGCUGACUGUUUUCCUUCUCAUGUGUGUUCAGGUACCUGUAAACUUGGGAGAAAAAUGACCUUUGGGGGUGAGGAUUUCUGGUGUUUGGUCUUUGUCCACAGGAGCUUUUUUUUUUUUUUUUUUUUUUAAAGGAAACCUUGAAGAGACUCCAUCUGCAUUUUGAGUUAAAACUAUGAGUGAAGGAGUUUCUCUUUUAUAGAAAACUGUCCAGAUGCUGGGUUAUUUUGAGGAGGGGAGGGUAGCGGUGGCGGGGAGGGCUGAUGGUGCAGAAGGAAUCAUAUAGAAAAGAGGCAUUUGGAGGAUUUCAGUAUGACUUGAAGCUGGCUCCUCAUUAUUAGUCUUUUGUGAGAGAAACGUUUUGGAAAACUUCACAGGAAGUUGAUUAAGAUCCCUACAAAUCACACUAUGGAUUCCCUUCUCUUCCAUUCAAGGCCGAGAGGCAGGAGCACCCCCUACUCCCUGCCAACCCCCACCCCCACCCCCAUGCACACACAUUGCUCUCCUACCAGAUUCAGCCUCUUUCUCUCUCUGCACUCUCCGAAUGGAUGAAAAGGCCAUUCCCUAGAGAAAGAAUCUACCCUUUCCUCCCCAUUCCCUUGGCCUGGUCUUGGUUCCUCCAGGCUGGAGGGGUUGGGCCUGGCUUUUUAGCAGGAGGGCCCAGUUGUUGGUCCAUUUGCCUGUGGCCCCAGUCAGCCCGCCCCUUUUUCUGCACAGACAGGUGAAGGCGCUGACGCUGUUCUUCUAAACUGGAAAAUGAAAUGCAAAACCGAAGUUAAUGUAACAUGGUUGAGAUUAAAUGCACCCAAAUCAGGAAAUUCAAAGUUAUGCUUCCCAUAGCAGCUAUAACUCAGCCUCGUGUGGUGUGUGUAGUAUUUUGUGUUAGUGCAGAUGGUGUUAUAUGUUAAGGCGUUAAAGUUAACACCAUAAGCAGAGCACAAAAUGCUUGAGGGGGGCUGAGUUAUGACUACCGUGUGAGCUGUAAGUGUUCUUGCAUAGGCUCUCGACUCCUGGAAUAAUUUUUCCCCUGCCCAUCAGGCCAAUUAUUGCCUUUCUUUUCAGUUAUAUCUCUGCUUUAAUACAUCUCUUCUUCCAGGGUCACCAUAAAUGAAUUCUUCUAUUGGUGGGAAAGGGGCAGCCCGCUAGGCCCUUUUGUCCUUUUUGUUGCUGCUUCCAUAAAUGUGGUGCUUCUCCCUCCCCAUCCCCAGCCCCCUUGGCAGGUUGCCGUCUGGCUUUCCCUGUGGUCCCCUCAUAGGGAUGGGCCUCCCCCGGCUCUCACUGUGGCUCCUCCCCAGUGCUCCCCAUAUGGGAACAAACGUUUGCUGUGUCCAGGUCUUGGCCCUGUUGUAACUUCAUGUGAAAGCUGAAGGGCCCUUUUCUAUUUGGAGCAGACACAGCAACAUAAAAAGUAAAAUAUACAUCUCGGGGAGGGGAGCACUGCUGCAUGGUGGUGCUACCUUGUGUUUUCGGCAUAUCAGAGGUACAAUCGAAGGAGUUUAUUUGCUCUAUUUGGACGGCUUCUCUACCUUCCCCAGGGUUUAUACCUUUAAGCUGCCAUAGCGUGGGGUUAGGCUGUGGAGUUGCCUGGGGGUGGCACCAGGAACUUUCCUUGGGGAGUGUUCGGUCACUGGUAACAAAAUCACCAUGUAAUUUAGUGCAAAUCGGGACACAUUCCCCCCGCCCAGGCUCUUCUUAUCCUGGUGGCCCCUCCAGAGCAGAGACAGCUGUUGGAAUGCAGAUUUUAUUAGAUACUAGGCUAAGGUUGGUGGUGGAGAAGAGCUUUAAAGAAUAGCGCCAUUGCUAAAUGGCGAAUGAAAUCAGGGACUGUAAACUAACAGAGACACUGAGCUGCCUUUCAGGGUUUUUGACGGACACAA
rnacentral:lncRNA from 1 species